rnacentral:lncRNA from 1 species
UUUGUUUUCCAAAAAGAAACCAAAGAUGUCAACACGUUUUUCUAUGAUUCUGGUCAAAUAUGGAGAAGUUUGACUUAGAACAAAGCUGGAACUUCAAUUAGUUUGGAACGGACAAACACCAUGGAUUAAAACCUGAAGAAAAACCACGGACAAAAAAAAACUCAUCAUAUAGCUGCAGCGUGCGUGCGGGAAUUGAAUCCUAAGCUUCCCGGCAGUAACAGUAUUGUUCAGCGCGUUACAGAAAAAGUUACCUUGCAAGAAGAGACAUAGGUGUUCAGCGUGUCAUUGUAGAGUCUUUGUAAUUUCACUUUUUCUUCGUCUUCCAUCCAUCAGAGCAACCCUGUGUGUUUUUCACUUGAACAAACAGAAUGAGCAGAUUAAACAUACCUCUCAGCAUGUACAGCGUAAUCAUGGAGGAGGAUAUACACGCCCAUUACCCCAAAGCACACAAGAAAAGCACCCCAAACACAUGUCCAAGCUAUAAGAUGACAC